UACGUAGGGUGCGAGCGUUAAUCGGAAUUACUGGGCGUAAAGCGUGCGCAGGCGGUUUGAUAAGCCAGAUGUGAAAUCCCCGGGCUCAACCUGGGAACUGCGUUUGGAACUGUCAGGCUAGAGUAUGGGAGAGGGAGGUAGAAUUCCACGUGUAGCAGUGAAAUGCGUAGAGAUGUGGAGGAAUACCGAUGGCGAAGGCAGCCUCCUGGCCCAAUACUGACGCUCAUGCACGAAAGCGUGGGGAG
rnacentral:rRNA from 1 species